CAAAAGAACAGGAGUACGACCAGUAGGAGUUGCAAGGAAAGAUGUGUACGGUCGAUGUAACCUUUGGGUAAUAUCAGGAAGAAUUUACAUCAGUGGCAUGGUAUUGUACUUUUUCAAAGUGGAUUUCCUGGUUUAUGUGAGGGAAACUGCUUUUGAAUCAUGAAUUCAAACAGUUUUGAUAUCAUCCCUGUGCACAAACAUGACAUGGUGCAUAUUACGGAUGACAGCAUUUCAUUGCCUCCACCAACUACUUUCAAGGCAAGCAAUUCCCAAGAGGUAAUACUUAGUGAUGGUUGUUAUGUAACCAAUGUCCAGGACACAUGCAAGAUCAGUUUUGAAAGAGAUGAUUCAAUUAACCAGACUCCACUUGUAUCGAUAGAUGUACCUUUCAACACACCACAAGAUGGUUGCUCUGCCAUGACACUUGCUUGCAGGGAAGCUGAAAUAAAUGAUGUCUUGAAUGAAGUAUCAAAAACAGUAACAACUUUCUUUUACGAUGAAGAAAACAGGGUUUGUAGUAAUUCUCAAUCAAACUGUCAGGAGGAAAGUUUGGUUUCUGUGGAAACAGGGAAAGAAACAACAGAGGCUGCAGAGAAGAAAUUGAAGAGUGUGGAAACUGAUCCUGUUGUAUCUAUCAGUACUGACAAACUUGAUGAAAUGUAUUGCGAAGAGGUAAGCCAGUGUGAAAAAAGUUUGUCACAGUGCUCCAUUUCCAAGGAAUAUGAAUCAGAAGACGAAAGUGCCAACAAAUGUGUCUUGCAGGAAAGCCCAUCACUUUGUCAUCAGAUAAAAUUUGCUUGUAAAUUAAACCUGAUGCCUACAUGUUUACAGAACGUAUCUGAUUAUGAUGAGAGCAACAACCCUUGUACUCUAGUUGAUGAUAAAGUGGAAACAAUGGCUUCAGGGAAGAAUACUGAUUUUCUGAAGCAAACUACGAAUGAGACGGCAGGAAAUAAUUCUGUUUUGAAGUAUGUUAUAGAGAAUAGCUGUUCACAUUACAAUUCAGAUCAUUCUCAUGAAUUAGAAAUGGACAAUUUUAAACUAUGUGGAAAUAGGGAAAAGAAAGGAGAAUAUGAAGGACACUCAGUCAUUUACGUAGGCAUUGAUGCUCCUGUGAAGACCAGUUUCACUGCAGGCAGUGAGUUUGCAGAGAAAAUAUCUAAUGAUGACAUGAUUGAUGGAUUUGACAGGAAUCUUGAGGAGGAUGUCAGGAUAACCCUAGACAAUAUUUUAGAAAAAUGUUCAAAAGUGUGUGAGAUGGAUUAUGGAAAUUCACACGCCAGCAUCAAUCAGUAUGAAGAACAGUGUGCCUCAGGGAGGAACAUUUUGGAUCUGAAAGCAGAAAAUGAGAGUGAAGUGACUGAGUGUACAUUACUUGCUGAAUGUCUGAAAGGAGAUUCGUGCCACACAAAACCAAGUACAAUCAAUGAAGCCAAUAUCAGUCACAUGAAGACCAUCAGUGAACCCUCUGCAGAUUGCCAAGUUUCUGUGGCCAUGCCUUUCCACGAUAACAUCCAGCAGGAUAUUAGAAGGUCUCAUGAAAAUCUUGCUGCAUUAGUCAUGCAUUCAUCUGAGAAAAGCACACAUAAAACUGGGAAAUUCAUUGUAGAUUCUCCAGAGCCAACAGAUCCCAAUAUGCAGUAUACUCAGGUGAGUAAGAACUUAUCAGAAACUGAAAAAGGGUAUCACUAUCACCACUGAAACCAACUCUGGACAACCGUUCCUGUGAUGAAGGUGAAAACCUAGAAAAUGAUAACUUUGGGCAGAAUAAAAAAUCCAUGUUGAAGAUAUUCAAUUGACAAAACUAGAUUUGAUCAGUGGUAAUGCACAGUUUGAUCAAGGAGAAAUGCAGGUUCCUGAACAGUCUCCUUUAUCAAGUGAAAACUUGACAGAUUGUGCUGGUGGUAGUGCAUUGAUAGAAGAGGGACCCUUUGUGCAUAUGUCUACUCCAUUUGAAGAAGAAGGAUUAGUUGCCCAGAGCGAAGACAUUUAUAUAAGAGAAAAUGAUUUGAUGGAAGCAUACUCAAACUUUAACAAUUCACAAAAUGACAUUGAAACUAUAAGUGCCCAAAAUGUUGAAGAAAAUCACUCCGAGGAUGGGUCAUGUAGUCUAAAUAACAUUCAGUUUGAAAUGGUACAUUCUCAUGGUGCUGAUGAAAAUGGAUUUUCUUCCAGAAACAAGACAGUGGUAAGUCCACAUAUAUUUAGAGAUCUGUCACCACUGCAAAAUCAAUCAAAAGGUAAUAUUCAUCUUGACAUGCCAACAGUUGAGACACAGACAGAAAAUGAAUACUGGACAUACUCAAUCGAAGAAAGAUUACGUUGUUCCCUCCCAAGCUCAACAGAACAUGUCAGUUCUGUUACAGAGGUGGGGUCUACAUGUUUGACAGGUGAUCAUGUAACACAAGGAAACUCAGCAUGUUCAGCAUUCUCCCUGCCAAUGAAUAACACAGGCACCAAGGACCCUGUUAGUGAAGAAAGUGAGUAUUUAUGCACACAACAGUUUACAGCUUCACUUUCACAAGCCAGUAUUGCUGAAUACCUGAGAGACACAACUGAGCAUUAUGGGUCGGACCCUAUUGAUCAGAGGCCUGUUCCAGAGGAGGAGGGGCUAUCAGCAGCACACCCUGGGGAUGACCAUACUGUUCCACACGACUUGCAACUGCCCACAGAUGAAUCAGAUGUAGUGAUGUAUGAAGAAGACACACUCCCCAUAAAAGAUCAAACAAGUGUACAGGUCCCUGCUCCAUCACCAUGUUUCAAGUGGAAAUAUGCACCUUCAGCUUGCCUUGAUGACAUAUCACCUGGACCUAAAGACUCAAAACCAUGUGAAGAGGAAACUUUGCUGACAAUUUACCCACUAAGGACUUGCAGGAGACCAAUCAGGGUUGGACUUUCUAAACGAUUUAGAGCCAAAUCACUUCAUGAAAACUUGAAACCAUGACCCUAAAAAAUCCUGUAUGCCUGUAUACUGAAGUGUCCACAGCAGCUAUUGUAACAAAGUUGAAACACCACUUUGUUCAGCAAGUAAAGAGGCAGUUUUGUUCUAACUUUAGUACUCUUUAUGCAUCUUCAUAGUAAUAACUGUACAAUUUACAAAGUGAAGCUUCCCCAAUGAGACACUGAAGACAUUUUUUGUUUCUUUGGUCAAAAAUUUGUUUGUUCUUAAAAGUGAAGGUUAAGAUUAAUGUUUUGCCAAGGAUUCCAUGACCUUCUCUUCAUUUAGUAAAAGUGAUUACUUUUACUGAGAUAAAAUUAGUCACUGAAAUGUAUUUCAAAGGCUAAACUGGUUUAUGAUUAACUGCUUCCAGUAACUUGUGAAAGUGAAAUUUGUUUGAAAAUGUAUUUGUAUGGAAUAUAUUUUGACAAUUUUAAUCAGAAAAAUUACAUUUCCGCCUAAAUUGCUUGUUAAAUCAAUAUUGAACAUCACAUCAAAUUGUUUGCUGGUAAAAAAUUGACACAUCCAUAACACUCUGUGAAAAUAUAUCCUCAGAAACGUAAGUGCAGCUGUGCAUGAUAAUCAGAGUGGAUAGUAGGUAUCUUAAAAUGAACCAAAAACCUAGGAAUUUUACAUCCUCAGAGAAAUUAGUUCUCACUGAACUUGACAAAUAGACAUGACAUUGAAACUACACCUCAGUACCAACACUCAAAUUCUCACAUGGAGCCUCUGUUGGUAUAUUAUAUCUCCCUGUGACCUGGUCUGGCUAUCGCUUAAAUUAAUGAUGAAUCAAAUUGGAAAUGGGUUGGAAUAGUUUCCAAAUACUACUCUGUUGCUUUCAUCAGAAGUGAUUAAAUUUCAGGUGGUCAAUAUUCGUAUCUACAAACUAGUGCAAAGUAUACAUGCUUUUAAGUAGGUUCAUGGCAUUUAAGCAUAUUCAUGGCAUUAUCCUCAUAUUAUUUGGGCAUUAUGGAAAUGAUCACAUGUGUGAGUAAUUUCCAGUUUGCAGUCCUAGGAUGUUAGAGUCAGGUCAAGCAAAACUUCAGUUAUCUUCUAACUCAAGUUGUAUCAUGUAAAUCAACCUUGGAAUCAUCCUAUCAGGUAUCCUUUUACUGUUUGGAGACCAGAAGUAUGUUUCGAUAAAAACUCACUUGCCAAAGGAGACUUCAUUGAAAACUGAAACAUUAAAAUAAGCAUAGGAAAGUAUGUUUCGUAUUGUUAUGUUUGUUAAAUCAAGACAAAACUGAU
rnacentral:misc_RNA from 1 species